rnacentral:rRNA from 1 species
UACGUAGGGUGCGAGCGUUGUCCGGAAUUAUUGGGCGUAAAGAGCGCGCAGGCGGUCGUUCAAGUCGAGUGUGAAAGCCCCCCGGCUCAACUGGGGAGGGUCACUCGAUACUGAUCGACUCGAAGGCAGAAGAGGGAAGCGGAAUUCCCGGUGUAGUGGUGAAAUGCGUAGAUAUCGGGAGGAACACCAGUGGCGAAGGCGGCGACCUGGACGGACAUUGACGCUGAGACGCGAAGCGUGGGAGCAAAACAGGAU